UGUGUGAUAAAUAUGCAAAGAACACAGAAAUCAGGAAAGAGGGCAAAUACUUUUUCACGCCACUGUACGUGGUCCAGUCCAGUCCCAAACACCCGCUAAUAGCAGAGGUCAACUGUACAGAAACUAAACAAAUUGUUCAAAUAGAUUCGAUAGAUUGGUCUGAUCAGAUAGGUGAUCGGUUAUCGUUUUUUUGUUUCAUUACGUUAUUUUAACUGUGCUUCCGUCAUCGCUUCCAUCAAUAGAUUUCAUCGGUCCGUCAGUCAAAAAAAAAAAAAAAGUCAAGUCAAGCA